rnacentral:lncRNA from 1 species
UACCCUCCCUAGACCCCACUAAGUGGGAGCCUCAUAUUCUGGACUGUUUUUUUUUUUACUAGUUAAAGUCUUUAAAUGGUUCUAAUGUCUCCAAUGGUUUGCUUUUUGUACUUUGCAGUUGAGUGACAAUGAUGCAGUGUGAGGUGAUAAAGAUGCUGGACUUCUGUAAUGUUGCUUGGAACUUUUGAUUGCUUGCAAUUUGGAAAUGGUUUGUUAAAGAAAAUUUUAUGGAUGGCAUUUAGAAUUUGUUAACUGGAUGGAGAACAUCAUGAUUUACCUACUUAUGUACAAAAAUGCGAAAAAAAUGCACAAUGAUCCUUCUGUGCAUUGUGUGAAACAUGUUUGAUAUGUUUUGAGUAAAUCAUUUUCGUUUUGUUUGUUUUUUUGGGGUGAAUUUCAACUCUCUGAUCAGAAGUUUCGAAAACCUAAUUUCUUGAGUUCUCCACGGAUUAAUUGCUUUCAGGUUGAUUUUUCUAAGCACUUUUAGGUUGAUUUUAUAAUCACAUGUGCAG